GCUAGUGUGGCAUAGUGGUUUGGGUAUUGGACUAUGACUCUGGGGACCAGGGUUCAAUUCCCUGUUCAGCC